rnacentral:lncRNA from 1 species
GGUUCUAAAGUCCCAACUGUCUGAGCACUUCUCUCCUGAGGGUUGAAGAUCCUGGCUGGCUCACCAUAAACUGCUAUAAUAGGAUUUUGCUUAGGAACUAAGAACAAAAGAGGAAGGAAGGAAAAAAGGAAGGAAAGAAGAGGAAGAAAACAAGUGUUUAUAUGUGCAAGUGGAGGAAACGGAGGCAGAAAGAAGUUAAGCAACUUGCUCAGGAUCACAAUCUGUAUCUGAAAUGCAAGUCUUUUGGACUCCAAAUCUAA